CUUACAACCAGGCAGCCAGGUGGCGUAUGUCCUUGUUUCCAGAGAGGCAGGACAAAGAGAAGAAGGUCAUUAAAGCUAUGAUAUUUGGUGUCUCCGAGAGGAAAGGAAGGGUGGUUUCCUGGACUGUAAGGAUUCAGGGAAGCUGGUGCUGAAGCUCUUGAGACCUUUGAACCACUUAAGGGCAGCACUCUGGCUCAGAGAAGAAUGCAGAUGAGGACAUAGAAAGAUGAACUUAAAGCUGAAAACUGAACUUAAAGCUGGAAAAAAUGAAGCAAUCUCAGCUAUGAUAGCUGUAAUAGAAAAAUGGAGUUUUCCUCAGUUUUUCUUCCUCAGAAUAAAUGGGAUGAUCCUGAUGGCUGUUUAAGUGGAGAGGAUUUGUUUGUGCAGGCUCAUGACAGGAGACUGAAGCAGGAGAGAGGGGCAUACAGCAGAAAACAUGGAAACUUCCACCUGCUGUUUCCAUUGCAUUUUUGCAAGUCUUCCUGUGUGUCAGGAAGAGCUGUCACAUCAAGGUUUUGUCAUGUGCUAGGCACUGCACAAAGCACUUGAAUGACAUCCUUGAAACUUUUCCCAUACGGAUCAUACUGGAGGAUGUCCAGAGAAAUACAGAAAAGUGGUUUGGAGGGGAGUAGCUGAUGGUAAGUUAAAUAAAUAAUAAUAAAAUUAGCCAGGCGUGGUGGUGCAUGCCUGUGGUCUCAGCCACUUUGGAGGCUGAGGUGGGAAGAUUGCUUGGACCUGAGAGGUCAAGGCUUCAGUGAGCUGUGAUCCUGCCACUGCACUCCACCCUCAGCAACAGAGUGAGACUCUGUCUGAAAAAUAAAUAACUACACAAAUAAUAUUGAUCAAUAACAGAUACAAGACCACUAUGACAUUGGAAAAGAUAGCAGAAUUAGGAUACAAAUGUAUGACAGGCUGGAACCAUGAACCAUCACCAAUAAGAAUAUAUCUUAGAUCACUGAAUGAAUGUAUGGAUAUUUUCUUAGUUUCAAAAAUACAACUGCAUAUGUCUAUUAGGGGAGCAUAGCUUAGCAGCCAGUAGCACAGAUAGAAAGAUCUAGGAGAUUUCCUGAGUGCAAGUUAUUACAUGGUGUGUGUAGCUGCCAAAAUAUUGACUGUGAUCUUUGGUUGCAUUGACAAAGCCCGAGGUGCUCUAUCUAUUCUGCGGAGUAUUUUCUUUCAGAUGCAGCAUUUAACGAGAAAAGUACGUGAAAGAGUUUGUUCAGAGGACAGCUAUCUGGCUUUUGAUGGGACUUCAAACCACGUCAGAUGUGGAGCUAAUAAAGAAAGGUAGGCUGCUUAGCUUGAAGAAGGGACUGAGCGAAUGAGAGGGAGAGAGAAACAGAAACAGAGAGAGAGAGAGAGAGAGUGUGUGUGUGUGUGUGUGUGUUGGGUGGGUGGGAAGAGAUAGGAAGGGCUUGAGCAUUGCCCUCCGAAUUCUGAAGAGUUUAAGAGAAAAUCAGCAUCCUCUUUAUACCAGUGGAGGCCAAGGCAAAGCCCAGGAGGUGGUAUUUACAGGUAGAUCGAGUUCAGUUCAGAUUAGGGAAGUAUUUUCAAACAUUUGGAACAACUGCCAGAGUAAUGAGUUGUUCCAGUAGAGCUUUCAAAGUGUUUUCUUUUGAAAAUUCCUUAAUUUUAAAAAUUUAAACCUGUACCUUUAAAUCAUAAUAUUUGAGCAAUGGUCAGUAGAUGGCGGUAGGAUACCAUGGAUUUUACCAGUGGCAGCUGGAAUUUCACCCUUCAAUAUGCUGGAAGUAGAUGAUUUUUUUCUAAUUAUUAUUGGAAGGUGUAUCCUAAUCUAUUGUUCAGAGAGAAAUUGCUGAUUUGAAAAACAGGAAAUAAUACUUCCUAAUUAAAUAGACGAUAAUGAGUAACAAAUACUUUUAUGUUGCCUGAAUGCUACCAUGCUGUUUCUUUAUUGGCCUCUAGAAAUUUGUGGUAGGAAGUGUGUGUGUGUGUGUGUGUGUGUGUGUGUGUGUGUGUAAAUGAAAGGUCUGGUUUGUUUUAAAUAAUUCCAAAAUGUAAUAUACUAAUUUUGUGUAAAAUUUUAAAAAUACAUGACUGAA
rnacentral:lncRNA from 1 species